ensembl:rRNA 5S_rRNA 5S ribosomal RNA
UAUGGUCAUACCAUCCAUCCUGAAUGUGUCUAAUCUCAUUUGAUCCCAAAAGCUAAGCAGGGUCAGACCUGAUUAGUACUUGGAUGGGAAAAAAACAAAGCACAGUGACUGUCAUAU